UGCAUAGCCGACCUGAGAGGGUGAUCGGCCACACUGGAACUGAGACACGGUCCAGACUCCUACGGGAGGCAGCAGUAGGGAAUCUUCCGCAAUGGGCGAAAGCCUGACGGAGCAACGCCGCGUGAGUGAUGAAGGUCUUCGGAUCGUAAAACUCUGUUAUUAGGGAAGAACAUAUGUGUAAGUAACUGUGCACAUCUUGACGGUACCUAAUCAGAAAGCCACGGCUAACUACGUGCCAGCAGCCGCGGUAAUACGUAGGUGGCAAGCGUUAUCCGGAAUUAUUGGGCGUAAAGCGCGCGUAGGCGGUUUUUUAAGUCUGAUGUGAAAGCCCACGGCUCAACCGUGGAGGGUCAUUGGAAACUGGAAAACUUGAGUGCAGAAGAGGAAAGUGGAAUUCCAUGUGUAGCGGUGAA
rnacentral:rRNA from 1 species